GGAGCGCCGCAGCCGCCGCGGCCAAUCCGGCGGCAGGUGGGGCCGCACCUGCGCGACAGCCCGCCGCUUCCCUCCGCUCCCUUCGCCGCGCCUCGCGUGCUAGCGGUGCCCUUGUGAGCCACUGCGUUCUCCAAGGCCAGAACGGGACAGUUGACGAUGGUCGUACUUCUCCAUGUUCUGAGACCAGUUUAAACAAAAACAAAAACCAGACAACAACCUUGCAAGGGAAAGAAUUCAGAGUAAAUAAACAGUCUUUUUCUGGGAAGUAAAAUAUUUCCCUAAGAUGGAGAAAUUGAGAUGAGAGCUCAUCCACAAGAUUACCCAUCAAUGAGCACCAAUAGCAACCAAAUCCACUAGAAGACUGGGAGCUUUUAAGUCAAGAAACUUACAUCAGUAUCAUCAUUCCAAGAAGCGGUAUCCAAGCUGUUUUAUCGAAAGUGCGCAUGGGAGAUAAGACUCUGAGAAUUUAUAGAAACAAACAUUAGAAGGCAGGAAUGUGGAGAGAAGAAAGCUACCUGACAAGGGAAUCUCAGGAUACAAGGAAAACACCAAGGAUGUGAGAAUGUCUUCGCUGCAUUAUUAUUUUUCAGCAUUGCCUCUGCUGACUUCAUGGGAGGAAUGGUGUUUCUUCUUCUCUCCCAUGUCAUGGAAGACACUCCUGAUGGCAUGUCUGUAGGUCUGUAGGAAAGAAUAAUCACCUCAGUAGCUUAGUGUGUGUAUGUGUGUGUGUGUGUCUGACACACUGUAGGUACAUAAUAAAGAUUUGAAAAUAUGAGUUUUUUUUAAUCCAAGCAGUGCCAUGUGUUUACUUGGAUUAGUAAUUGUACCAAUCUACAUUUUAAAGGUAAAACUAGCCAUUCAUUCUUUUGUUUCAGCAGUUGCCUAAUUUUAUUGUUUAAGUAUAAUGUGAGUGAAGGAAACUUCCUAGUUAGAAAUCUAUGAAUAUUAACUUCUUGUCUUCACUAACCAGAGUUGUUCUCAACUCAUAACACGUGGUUUGGUAAACCAUUUGCAAUGUAAACAUAGCAGAUUUUACUUGUAGUUUCAUAAUUUAGGCAGGUUGGCUCUGUAUUAUUUCUAGAAUCACAGGUAUCUGGAUGAAGAAUCACCAUUUUGUCAUUAGAGAUUACAACAAAUGUAGUUUAUUCUUUUUACCGGUAAUAUCAAUGUAAGCAAAAAUUAUACUUUUUAGCUAAGCAUGUUAUCUUCCCAGACUGGAGGAGUUAUUAUCUUCCAUAUUUUCUCUAUCUUCCACUAUACAAAGGGAAAAUAGAUUGGAAUUGUACUGGCCAUUGCUUUGUAAAGAGAAUAUAAAUAGCAAUAAAACAUAAAGAAAAUGACUGACACGUGAAUUUUAUCGAAUUUAAAAAAUUUUGUUUAGGCCAAGCCACAGAGUGGGCGAAGAUCUAGGAAAACAUAUAUUCGACUGUUAAAGAAAAAGAUAUUUAUAGCAUUUGUUAAAGAUGGUAAGGCAGACUUUAUCUAGAGGGACUAUCACAAUGAGGUUUUGCAGUAGGAGUGAGAGAUUGGGCUUACUCUAAUACAAGGAAAAAAGAAAAUUCAUAGCUAAGGACCAAGGUGGGUGUCACUAGAUGUACAAACUCUAGGAGUAAACAUAAAAGCUGAUAGGGAAUUCUGACUAAACUGGGUUGACAGAAUUUUUGCAGAAGGGAGGCCAGGUGAUAAGAUAUUGAGAGUGGGAGAUAAGGAAUUUGAUUAGAUAUAAUAAGUGGAGGAUUUAUAUACUUGACUUAGGAGAAUUUUUGCUAAAACUGGACUAAGAGGUCUUAGGACAGAUCCUCAAGACAGAGCCUAGACAGAAAGAGGACUCAAAGGAGGCUGACGUAAGUUUGGUCAAAAGAGAGAGUCUUUGUCAUGAUAAAUUGUCUAAAUUACACUUUAGAAAAAUUUUCUAAAAAUUGAAAAGAAAAAGAUAGACUAACCUAAUUUAAUAAUUGGGCAAGAGACUUAAACAGUCAUUUCACA
rnacentral:lncRNA from 1 species